rnacentral:rRNA from 1 species
UCGAUUUGGAGUUUGUUGCCUAGAGUGAUGGGCUCCGAAGCUAACGCGAUAAAUCGACCGCCUGGGGAGUACGGCCGCAAGGUUAAAACUCAAAUGAAUUGACGGGGGCCCGCACAAGCGGUGGAGCAUGUGGUUUAAUUCGAUGCAACGCGAAGAACCUUACCUGGUCUUGACAUCCACAGAAUCUUUCAGAGAUGAGGGAGUGCCUUCGGGAACUGUGAGACAGGUGCUGCAUGGCUGUCGUCAGCUCGUGUUGUGAAAUGUUGGGUUAAGUCCCGCAACGAGCGCAACCCUUAUCCUUUGUUGCCAGCGAUUAGGUCGGGAACUCAAAGGAGACUGCCGUUGAUAAAGCGGAGGAAGGUGGGGACGACGUCAAGUCAUCAUGGCCCUUACGACCAGGGCUACACACGUGCUACAAUGGCGUAUACAAAGGGAGGCGACCUCGCGAGAGCAAGCGGACCUCAUAAAGUACGUCUAAGUCCGGAUUGGAGUCUGCAACUCGACUCCAUGAAGUCGGAAUCGCUAGUAAUCGUGAAUCAGAAUGUCACGGUGAAUACGUUCCCGGGCCU